rfam:Serendipita vermifera MAFF 305830 unplaced genomic scaffold scaffold_1, whole genome shotgun sequence.
GCAUUGAUAGUUCAGUGGUAGAAUGGGUCGUUGCCAGUAGAUGCACCGAUUCGACUCGGCCAGGGUUCAAUUCCCUGUCAAUGCA